UCCGGUGAACCCAAAUCGGCGUGUUAUUGGGAACAGGUGUCUUGUUAAGCGUGGCGAUCACGGAUUUGGCAAUUCAGUGAAGAGGAGACACAUAAAUAGGGCAUCAGAAACACAGGAAAUGGUUGGUGAUUCCGAGAGAAUGGUGUACUGUGGAGCUUGGGCAAAGAGAGAUACACACACAGGGCUGAGUAUACGAAUAUCUUUAUUGGAGCAUUGUGUUCAGAUGCAUUGUGUGAGGUGAAGUUAACACACAUUGAAGAUCUGCUAGGAUUGCAGGAAGGAGGAAAGUGGAAAGAUCCAGUGUUAAUGAAAGGGAUUAGUGGGUGUGCCGGGACCAGCGAAAAAAAGGAGUCUGGUGCCUUGUCGUGGCUGUGACAUUUCCUCUGCCCAUCUGCUGCAUCGGUGCCCCCAACGUCCAGGAACUAAUCCCCGGUCCUAUGUGGUUUUGACCCUAAUUCACUGUGAGCUUUUGGAGUGCAGUGGGCUGGGAGAGAAAACCCUGUGGGGAAGAACGUGCACCGGUGUUGUGAGACAACCGUCUUUUAUAUACAUGCCCGCUCGUGGCUUUGGACCCCUACUCCACCGAGUGGUGACGUGUCAACAAUAGCAAGUAAGGAACAGUGUGCAUAUUGUGGGGGACGAUGACUGCGACGUGUUGGCUGCUAUAUGAACAUCCAGCACUGUAGCCCUUGUGUAUGAAUACCUGUUUGUGGAGUGCUUUCCGAGGUUCGCCCCUGUCUAGAUCUCUGGUCCGUUGUCUGGAAGAGAGGAGAGGGAAGCGUUCGAGUCAUUCCUGAGGUACAUACCCGGUGGCACAAACCUACCUGAAGCCACCCAGCGUGGUGGCACCAGCUGAGGCCGUGGAAGGCCCAACGUGCAGCAACUUCAAUCUGUACUUCUAUCCACUCUUGGUCAAAUUCAAGAGGUGGUGAGUCUUUCUCCAUAUAUUCACUGAAGCUAAGUAAAUUUGUGAAGGAACUCUGUCUGUCUGUUACCAGUCCUACAGGUCUGAGCUUGAGGCUCUGAGCCAUCAUGGGAGUGUUUCCACGGUUGGAGGUGACCGGUUUGAGUGUUGGUCUGGGAAGUCUGCCCCAGUGAAGAAGACCACAGUUGUCGUGACAUAUACACAUUCUCUAGACUCCCGAGCUGAAAAGGGCUUAAGCCUGACGUCCACCUCUUCGAGGGUCUGUGAGUUGUAUCCAUUCAGUAUUGUCAUCGAAUACCCACCUGCAUGCCCAAAGUCAAACUCCAGUUGCCCUUUGUAUACUCUACUGUACGCCCACAUUUAAGAGCCAGCAUAUUGUCCUUGUAUACUUGCGUGUACGUCCAAAGUAAAGACCCAGUUGUCCUUCUGCAUACAUACUUGUACGCCCGAGUGAAAUACCAGUGCAUCGCCCUUGCAUACUCGCCUACAAACUCCAUCCGUAGGGUUUACCUGGACGAAAAUCCCCGUGACAGAGUAAGAAGCGACUCGGACCUAUACUCUCUGGCCUCGAGAGUGGAUAUUAGAUUCCCUUUUCCCUUCCCUUCACACCUUUUAGAUAAUUUAAAUAAAGUUUGUUUUAUUCAUACUCCCUUUCUCUCGUGUGUCUGGUCAUUGGGAUGUUCUUGGGACCUCCUCGAGGUGGAAACUAGGGAGGGGAGAGACUCACGACAUCUGUGGUCCGCUCCGACCUGUGACAUAUGUUUGGUGAAGAUCCCCAUUUCCUAGAUUGCAGUAAUUAACUAGUCACUCUGGAAUGCAUGUGCACACUAACAAAUGUAAUUGACUUCAUUGAUUUAUUGUUAUGUUUUUGCAGCCUCUCUUGUUGACUUCUCUGAGGAUGCACAAAAAGGACUGCAGUGUCUGGUUCAUCAGAGGCUCAGCAAACUGAAAGCAAAAAUGCUUUUAGUCAACAUCCAUUACAAAUCUAUCCUGAAUGAUAACUCUCACCUGGAGAUGGAGUUGGAAGAAGACAUAUAACUUGAUGCUAUAGCCUCUGAUUUCAGCUGUUCUGAUGAGGACUCUGACUGAAUGUCAUCUGCCAUCAAACAUGCUUCAAUUACUGUGUUGUACUGCUAAAUUCAGAAAAAACAGGUGUUAAUUAUAGGGCCUAAAAACUCUGCUUGUAAUAACCUGGAACACUGUCUAAGACUUGAUGGUUGCUGUCAAUUCUUCGUUAUCAUUUAGGAACCUAGGUCUGCUACUUGAUCGCAAUCUUUCCUUAGAAAGCCACGUUUCUAGCCUUUGUAAAUCUGCAUUUUUCCAUCUCAAAAAUAUAUCUUAGUUACGGCCUAUGCUCUCAAUGUCAAAUGCAGAAAUGUUAAUCCAUGCAUUUAUGACUUCAUGGUUAGACUAUUGUAAUGCUUUAUUGGGUGGUUGUUCUGCACGCUUAGUAAACAAACUACAGCUAGUCCAAAAUUCUUACUAGAACCAGGAAGUAUGACCAUAUUAGCCCGGUCCUGUCCACACUGCACUGGCUCCCUAUCAAACACCAUAUAGAUUUUAAAAUAUUGCUUAUUACUUAUAAAGCCCUGAAUGGUUUAGCACCUCAGUAUUUGAAUGAGCUCCUUUUACAUUAUACUCCUCUAUGUCCGCUACGUUCACAAAACUCAGGCAAUUUGAUAAUACCUAGAAUAUCAAAAUCAACUGCGGGCGGCAGAUCCUUUUCCUAUUUGGCGCCUAAACUCUGGAAUAACCUACCUAACAUUGUUCGGGAGGCAGACACACUCUUGCAGUUUAAAUCUAGAUUAAAGACCCAUCUCUUUAACCUGGCAUACACAUAACAUACUAAUAUGCUUUUAAUAUCCAAAUCCGUUAAAGGAUUUUUAGGCUGCAUUAAUUAGGGUGUUAUGGGAAGUGUUUCCGGUUUACCUAUUUACUUGCUACAUCAUUAGAAGAAUGGCAUCUACGCUAAUAUUUGUCUGUUUCUCUCUUGUUUCCGAGGUCACCGUGGCCACCAGAACCAGUCUGUAACCAGUUCAGAGGGUCACUGCAGUCGCCCGGAUCCAGUACGUAUCCAGACCAGAUGGUGGAUCAGCACCUAGAAAGGACCUCUACUGCCCAGAAAGACAGCGGAGUCCAGGACAACUAGAGCCCCAGAUACAGAUCCCCUGUAAAGACCUUGUCUCAGAGGACCACCAGGACAAGACCACAGGAAACGGAUGAUUCUUCUGCACAAUCUGACUUUGCUGCAGCCUGAAGUUGAACUACUGGUUUCAUCUGGUCAGAGGAGAACUGGCCCCCCAACUGAGCCUGGUUUCUCCCAAGGUUCUUUUUCUCCAUUCUGUCACCGAUGGAGUUUCGGUUAUUUGCCGCUGUCGCCUCUGGCUUGCUUAGUUGGGGACACUUCAUCUACAGUGAUAUCGUUGACUUGAUUGUAAAUAAAUGCACAGACACUAUUUAAACUGAACAGAGAUGACAACUGAAUUCAAUGAUGAACUGCCUUUAACUAUCAUUUUGCAUUAUUGAGACACUGUUUUCCAAAUGAAUGUUGUUCAGUGCUUUGACGCAAUGUAUUUUGUUUAACGCACUAUAUAAAUAA